GUGUGCCCAUUUAUCUUAGAUGAGUCUGUUUUUUCUUGUAGCUUUAUGCUUUUCUUUAAAGCAUUCUCCCAAGAAGUGGUGCCCAGAUAUCAAAUUUUACCUUCCCAAGACUAAUGAUGAGAACUCAGUAAUCCUUGGGAAAUGAAGAUGAGAACUUGGCCAAGGCUUACCUCUGUGAAGUAACCAGAAGUCUUUUCCUCUCCUUUACAGUCUUCAGCAGCGUCUGCUCAGAACUUGGUUCCUGGCUAAAGGACUGUAUUUGUAUGUAGUAUUUCCAGCUGGUUUCUGUUGCACAAGGAAUACUGAUGCUCAUGUGUAGCAGUACUCAAGAUGUCAGUUCAUGAGCUUUCUUAGUCACCCAGAAGUGCACAAGGGAGGCACUGUGUGUUCAGGCAGGUUAGGACGACUUCAGCAAGGAUCAUUCUCAUUGUGCUGCUAAUGUUUUCCCUUCUGCCACCUGCCAGAAUUGAGAAUGGUAUCUUUCAGUCUGUGUCAGAGCUGCAAAUGAUCCCCUUUCUGCAGGAUAUUUGGACCUUCAGAGCACGAGUUGUGCAAGGGGAAAGAAUUAAUCUGUAGAACAACCUGCGAAGACCAGGAUGGAAAAAUGUGCCUAUAUGAGCUGCUGUGAUGGGAAAGCACAGACCCUACAUCAGCAAUUGGAAUUACAUGCACUUUGUUGACCUCUGCAUUGGUAACUUAGCCAAAUGCUGCACUGCUAAGUGGUUUUAUGCUAAUACAAAAUAAUUGCACUAAGGUUGAACAGCUGAUGUACGUCAAGGAAAAUCUAACCUAGAAAAACAGAUUUGCUGUGGUUCUUUCAGACAAUCAAAGAAUAAUGGUCUUUAAAGAUCACCUUGAUCAUUUUGAUGUCUUCACUCUCAUUUUUAAGGUUUCUCCUGUGACAUACCUUUGAGCUGAUGCUAUAUUAAUACAAGAUUUUUAUGCAAGGAUUUAUGCAAGAGUUUGUAAUUUUUAAACUGCCCAACAUCCUGUUCUGUGCAAAGGAAGUGCAGGAAGUCAGUUUCAUGUGAGCCUUCAGUGCAGGAUGA
rnacentral:lncRNA from 1 species